rnacentral:rRNA from 1 species
CAGCCUACGGGAGGCAGCAGUGGGGGAUAUUGCACAAUGGGGGGAACCCUGAUGCAGCGACGCCGCGUGGGUGAAGGAGCGUUUCGGCGCGUAAAGCCCUAUCGGCAGGGAAGAAGAUGACGGUACCUGACCAAGAAGCCCCGGCUAACUACGUGCCAGCAGCCGCGGCAAUACGUAGGGGGCAAGCGUUAUCCGGAUUUACUGGGGGUAAAGGGGGCGCAGACGGCAAUGCCAGCCAGGAGAGAAAACCCGGGGCCCAACCCCGGG